UACAGAGGGUGCAAGCGUUAAUCGGAAUUACUGGGCGUAAAGCGUGCGUAGACGGUUGCGUAAGUCAGAUGUGAAAGCCCCGGGCUCAACCUGGGAAUUGCAUUUGAGACUGCGUAGCUAGGGUGCGGAAGAGGGAAGCGGAAUUUCCGGUGUAGCGGUGAAAUGCGUAGAUAUCGGAAGGAACACCAGUGGCGAAAGCAGCUUCCUGGUCCAGCACCGACGUUCAGGCACGAAAGCGUGGGGAGCAAACAGG
rnacentral:rRNA from 1 species